CGGCGCGCGCUUCCCCCUCCCCCGCGGCCCGAGCGCGAGCCGCCGUGACGUCACGGGCCGCCCGCCAGCCCCGCGCUCCAGCGGGCAGAGCGCGUGCGGCCGCCGAGCACAUGGGCCCGCGGGCCGGGCGGGCUCGGGGCGGCCUGGACCCGGACGGGCGGCGAGGGGCCGCGCGCGGGGACGGGCCCCGGCACCCCCCGGGCCCCCCGAGCGGAUUUCCACGCCGAGAGGAUGUUGGCAGCGCCGGCGACCUGCCGAGACGCGGCGGGAUCCACCUUCCACCCUGAUCUUUGGACCAGAAAGGAAUUAAAAAGAUGCCCCUCACGAUGGCCGUGCCUGUCUGUUACAUGGAGCUCCAUUCAAGGAUUUUCGGAGCCUUUUGGAUUUACAGUGAUAUUCAGCUGCCUGGGGAAUAAAGUUGGUGGAAGCUUUCUCUGGAGUUACAUACACCCGACACCUGUCUGGAUGCUACUGGCGGUUUUAAGGAAGGCCCUGGCUGAGUGCCUGGCGGAUCCCUGCAGCCUGGAUGCCCGUGGGAGACGGAGGACCGCGGCUUCCUGUGAGGGCUGAUGACUUUGUCCUUCUCUCCUCACGGAUGCCUGGUUGGGUCUCUGCCAGCCCCGCCGGGGGCUCCCUGUGACAUAAUCCUGUCCUACCUGAGAUUUUGGUGCCUUCAAUCUGAAAAAAAAAUACGCAUCCCUCUGGUACUCUAGAGGAACUUGAGAACAGUCCUUCCCUGAACUAAAGCCAGACCAUUGUGGGAUUUGGAGAAUAAAGGUCAGGCUAUGAUUUUGGCAGAGUCCCGAGCUCCUGUGGAGAUUUGCCUCUCGCCAGCCUUGGGCUAUCUGCAUUCUUAAACAUCUCAGGGCCCAGAAGAAUUUGACCAGCUCUGGGAAUGGCCUGAAUGAAGAGAGGUCCUUCUCCUCUUCCCACAUAAAUGGACUGCAGGGAAAAAGAAACUUCCUGGCCUGCCUGAUACCAGCUCUAAGGAGAAAAUACUAAAAUUGGACCUGGGAGUUGGUCCCCAGCUGGAAUUGGGACUGAGUGAGCCCUCCCCAGGCCAACAGCUGGCACCUUCAACUGCAGGAGCAGUUCCCUGGGCCGGGCCUUGAGAAGUGGCAGUGGCAGUGGGUCCUGGUAGAAUGCGGACAGUCCUCGGCCCCGUCCCAGGCCUGUUCAACUAGUUGCUCUGGGGGGACCUGCACAGGGACCACACUGUGCUGCUUCUGUCCGUGGCUGCUUUCCCAGCUGCCUUCGCUGGUGCCACCUUCGGUCUCUGAUGAAGUCCCAUUCCUUUUUCGCCCCCCCCAAAACAACCACAUCUUCUGCUCCCCCAGUCGGGACCUCAGAGGGGUCCACGCACAGGCCUGGUCUCGUAUUCGGACCUUCGGUUUUAUUUCACUUUCCCACAUCACUGAGAAAGACCUAGUAUCCUUGGCUCACCUUUUGCAGGCUGAGCUGAGGUCAGGCUUAGCUCUGGGUGGCCCGACCACCUGGGCCUCUCUCCCUCCCUUUCAUAAUGAGCUGAUUUCCCCCAGGGUACAGCUUCUGGACAGGGUGACCCCACCACUUUGUUCCCUGAGCCUUCCCACUAGGAGGGAAGAAACCCAGCUAUCAUUUAUUGAUCAUCUAUGCUAUGCACAUGUAUCGCUCUAAUUAUUACCCUGCAGGGAAGAUAUUAUUAUCCUGAAGCUAAGAGAUAAUCAGCAAUUUACCAAAGGCACCAGCAUUUAAACCCUUGUCCACCUAACUGGAAAGCCUUUUUUUUCUCUUCACCAUACUGGAGGUGAGAUAUGAAGGAUUUCUUUUCAAGGCCGUAGGUCCUAAAUACUUCUCUUUGUAUGUGCACAAAAUCUUGCAGAGAAAAUUUUUCUUCCCCCAAUUUAAAAUGUGCCGACUGUCCUUGGGGUUACAAACAUGUCCCAGAAAGUCAGGAGCUGGCCGAGUUGGAAGGCACAUAUGACGUGAGCCGGGCCAGGGUGCGGUGACGGGGAAUCCCGCUGCUACUCACUGCCCUCCUCUGUCGAGACUUUCAGUUUGUAAACAUGUUUUCUUCCCCGCACUUUGGCAUCCGUCAUGACUUAAAUCCCAGGUUGUCAGCCCUUGUAGAAAGGAGUUCAGAUCUUGGCAUUAAACGGUGCCCACUGUGUGUGCAGGGCUUUGCCACCGCAGAAGGCUUCCUGAACCUCCACUGAUCCACACAGCUGCCCGGAAAGGAUGUCGGCCUCGCCGACGAGAAAGAUAAAGGCCAGAGUCUUUGCAUGCGAUCAGCCUGAACACCAGCCUGCUCAUGGCUACCAGGACCUUCCUCUGUCCAGUAGCUCGUUAGCUGAGAGGCCGCGAAGCAAAUUGAGGCCGCAUUCAGGUUAUGGGAAAAGACCUCUCCUCCCUCCCAUGAUCUGGCAGUCCCUCUGCAAAUACUGCGGGACAUCUGAGCCCUGAGUGCACCGAUGUGUUUACCUGACCGGCCUCCCCACGACACCGUCUGCCUCAUCUGCCCCCAUUCUUCAGCACGUAUCCCAGUCCCUGUCCUGUGGCAGACGCUCCCUAAGGAGGCGCUGGAUGAAGGGACGUGUCGCAUGUCCCGUUACCGACGAGCCGCGCGGGGAGCACCGAACUCCUGCCGGGCCCCCGGCUGGACUUUGUUUCUUCUUACAAAGCACCGCGUGUCUAUUCCAGAAACAUCUCCAAAUCCACACACGCAAAAGGAAGAAGCUAAAAAGGCUGCUGUUAUCAUUCAGAGGUGAGAGAACUGCUACUCGGGGAUGUUAAGUAACCCAGCAGAGGUCACACAGCUAAGUGACACAGAGGAGCGUCCCAAGUGGUGAAGACCAUUUUCCAUCACUGCUGUCCUCCACGAGCCUGUGUCUGGAAUGGGACCUGUCUUUGCGCUCAUGAACACGUUGGAUGGGUAAGAUACCUGGAGGUGUAGCAGCCAUCUUGCAAGCAUGAGGAGACAAGUCAACAGAAUGAAAUGCCAGAGCAGAUAAGACAGAAAAAGCCUGGAUCUUUGGUAGCACGGUUGAGCUGUUCCACCAGCCCAAGACAGGAGUCUACAUCCAGACUUUCUGUUAUUGAAACAAUGGCCGCUUCUUUACGUCACUCCAAGUUGUCUUUGAUUUGCAGCGGAAAACGUUUCAAAUGGAUACACAGACUUCCGCCAAAGCACAGCCAGUGUCGGGCUGUGUUGGGCUAGUACGGUGGUUAAGAGCCCAAAUUCCAGAGCCAGAAGUCCCAGGUUCCAAUCUCAGCUCCACCGUUACUAGGUAUAGGGCCUGGGCAAGUCAUUUAGCUCUUCUGUGACUCACUGGCCUCGUCUGCAAAAUGCUCAGCAAAGGUGUGGACCCGAGGCUCCACAUUUUACCCAUGAGACAACACUGAGCAGAGUUAAUCCGAAAUCACGCAGCUCCAGCUAGAAGUGGGGGAGCUGAGAUCUGACUCCACGUAAUCCCAGGCUCUGAGACCCUCGUUGCCACUGCACCAUGUCCAGCUGCCUGCCGACAGCGUGGAGACCUUGGGUGCGGCUCCUGGAAUCAGGUUGCCUGGGUUCCUAUCCCAGCUCAACUGUCGAAUGGCAUGAUGAUCCAAGGUGCCCAUCUCUGAUGGCUAAAAUGCGGCUCGGCUCAAAGGACCCCUCCCUGAGCUUCACCCGCUGGCCCCGCAUCUGGAACAAUUCAAAUCCUCGUGGCCCCUGCUCUGAACGUCGAGGCCACCCUGUCCGCCGGUGACCACGGAUUUCAUUUCCCCCCGAUUGCAGGCGUGUGGGCAGUUACAAGUUGAAAACCAGCAGCCGGCUUCAAAUACAUUUUCUUCAUGCCCUCUCUGAAGUACUUCGUUUUUCCUUUGACACCUUAAUUCUGCCACGCUAUUCCAGCAUGCUGAGAAUACACUUCUCAAUGCCCUGCGGCUCUCACGGACAGAAUAACAGGCUUCCAGGUCCCUACGCCCCAAGGAAGAGACUGACCAGGAACCCAUGAAGGCUGGGUUCAAUGAGACAAGUACAUCCUUGCAACUAAAGGUGCAGGAAGUCAGCCAGGACUUCCAGGCGUGGAGCCUGGUCACUUCUGUCUUGUUCAUGGCUUAGAACAGUGCCUGGAACAUGGUAAAUGGUUCAUAAAUGUUGGGGAGGAUAAACAGUCCCCUCUUGUGAAUGUCACACUGCCUGCUGUCCUCAGAGGCUCUGGCUUCCUGUGUCUCUUAGACCGAUGCCAUGAUGCCAACAGGAGGACACUUUCUGGCUUCCCUGGCUGCCUGCCAAGAUGCACUCAAGCCGUGAUGUACAGUCAACGGGGCACUUUUCGCCUCUGGUUUUCCAGAGUGGAGAGCACAUCAUUGCCAGGAAGUUUCUGCCUCACUCUUAGUUCCCCAGGGUGGCCUGCCAGUCACCGGUGUGGUACCUCAGACAAUGGAGAUGCAGGGGCCGUGAUUCCCUGCCUGUAUGUCAAGGUCUUCGACACCCACUUGCGCAUGAGCUGGAAGAGGCGUGCCCGUCUCAGAGCGUGAAGAGCUGGUGAAGUCCCCACGGUUUCUCUCUGUCUCCUGGAUCCACUUUCCCCUCUUCACAGUGGCUUCUUUGUGACCCCCAAGGGGCCAUCUCCUGCCCCUCCAGCUCAUCUCCAGCUCGUGGCUUUGCCGACUCCUCACCUACCUGUGCUGUUUUCUGUACUGCAUAGAACUGGGUCCUCCAGGAAGACAUAUUGGAGUCCUGACCCACAGCAACUGUGAGUGUGACCUUAUUUGGAAAUAGGGUCUGUGCGGACAUAAUCCAGUUUAGAUGAAGUCAUUCUGGAUCAAGAUGGCCUCCAAUCCAGUCAUGGUGUCUUUGUAAGAGAGAUGGACAGAUGGGGAGAAGGCCGGGUGAAGGCAGGGGCAGACAUGGGUGGGGACGCUUCUGCAAGCCAUGGGUGUGUAAGGUUGCUGGCCCACCACAAAGCCUAGAGGAGGCCAGAAAGGACCUUGCCUUUCAGGUGUCAGAGGGAGCAUGGCCCCAUGGACACCUCGAUUCAAGACCUUCAUCCUCCGGAACUGCAACAGAAUAAAGUUCUAUGGUUUUAAGCCUCCCAGUCUGUGGAGCUUUGGCCACCCCAGGAGACCCACACACUCCCCUCCACCCUUCAGUCUCCUCCUCAGUGUCACCUCUUUGUUGAGUUACCCACCCGGGGCACAUUUUACCAUUCUUCCACCAGGCGCUUAUUACCAUGUGUGAUUCUGUUUUGCAAGUUUCCCCUGGUGCUCGUAAGCCCUCUGCCGUGUCCAUGUUGCUCACCGCGUGUCCUCAGUCUCUAACACAGCAUCUGCACGCACUGGGUGGGCAAUAAAGUAUUUGUAGGACGCAUGCAUUGCAGUCCAGGGGAAUCUUCCGGACUUACAGAAUUAGUUCGUGUCAUAGAAUCUCCAGUCAGAACAUGACCCUGGGUACUUCCCCUAGAAAUCCUCAAAGUGCAAUUAUUCAAAUCGAGUUGUUCAACCCAAGUCAGUUGCAGUAAAACAAGAGAGACUUGAGAGUCGACCCUGAGGGGCUGAUUCUCUGCGGCUCUUUUGGAGCAGAUGUGACCGGGAAAUCAAUACAGCCAUUAGAUUAAUCUGCGGCAACCAUAAUGUCAUUGCAUCUUUCGCCCUGUGAUGUUGACACAGAUGUCAGAGCUAGGAGGAGGGGAGGCGCUUCAAAGAAGGAACGGGGCCUCCGAAGUGAAGGGGAGACUUGAAACCCCACGGAGCCUCACUUAAUGGACGAAGGAUUGAGGGUGGCUGCCUCUGGCAUCAUCGGGUCUUCUGUCAGAGAAUGCAGUGACUUGGCGACAGGCAGAGCAGGGGGACCUGUAAAGCUCGGACAUCGGGAGGCCUCUCGGGAGGAUGAACUCGGCAGCAAUGGAGCGGUAGCCUGGUCUGGACUCUCUUUUCUUAUUUCCAGAUUCUCAGCCUCUCCCGAGGCGGGGCGGGGGUGGGAAGACCCCAUGGGAUUUCCUUCUUCCAUUGCAUCUGGCCUUUUAAAAUUAUUAUUCUCAUUAUUAUUAAUAUUUCCUGACACAAGGAGAGAGGGCGUCCUUUAUAAGCACAGCGCUGGGCUCUUGGAAAGCAUUCAAGAUAUGUUUGGAUGGUGAAGCUGCUCCCGUCCAUAGCGCACAUUGGUACAGAACGCCUGCUAGUUCGGGCACUGCUCCAGGUGCAGACGAGGGGGUGUGGGGGGGGGCGGGAUUUCUGCAGUGAACAAAAUAGACAAGCCCCCUGCCUUCAGGGAGCUCACAUUCUAGUGGAGACCAAAAUCAAGCUAAGCCAUUAGCUUGAGUUUUCUCUCCCGCAGACUUGGCCAACUGCCCCCCCCCCCCCCCAAUCUCUUCUCUUCUUCCUUUGUGGAGCAGUGGUUCUUAUCCAGGGGCACUUUUGCCACACACACACACCCCCCCCCCCCCCCGCCCCACUCAAGAUAUUUGGCGAUGCCUGGAGACGGUGUUUGGCUGUCAUGACCUGUGUGUGUACGCAUGUGUAACUAGCAUCUUGGCCCGUAGAAGCCAGGGAUGCUACCCAACAUCCUGCUGUGCUCAAGACACCCCCCACAAUGAAGACUUUUCCAGCCUGCGGUAGCAGCCAACAGUGCUGAGACCCAGGAAGUCGGGUGGAGACAGAAGUGGCUGAGCAGCCGGUGACUACAUUUCCUAGCAUCCCUUGGGGCUAGGUGUGGCCAUGUGACUGGUUCUCACCAAUGGAGUGGGGACAGGCGUGCUGUGCCCACGCCCAGGUGCAAGGCUCUUAGUGAGUAGAUGGGCCUCUUCCCCGCCCCGCCCCGCCCCCCCCCUCACCCCCCAGGCUGGAUGAAGAGAACAGCAAGGUUAUUUGGUCUGGUGUUCUGUUUAUUCGUCAUAGACACUUGUUUCUACAGAACAACUCAGAGGAUAAACAGAGGCACACGGCUGUAAUUGCCACCACAAUCUGCUGCUGAGGAGACAUGCGACCCGAGGAUAAGGGGCUGGGAGCUGGAUGGGGUGUGUUGGGUCCCGGGAUAACUGGAGGCCCCUGUGAUGAACCACGUAAGGAUCCUAUCAGUCACGAUCUGACCCCCGGGCCUGAUGGUGACAGUGGAGCCACGCGGGGACCUAAAUCGCCAUGUGAGGAGAGCUGUCUGCCAGUCAGAGACACUCAGCUCGGACUUUCAUGAGACAAGAUAAAGAAGCAAAUGUUCAAGGAGGCUAGCAGGCCAGAGAACUCUCAUGUGCAAAGGAGAAAUGCAGCAUUUGUAAGAGCGCAAAACUGCUAAGCCAAGUGUACGUCCACAGGAGAAUGGACAAAAUGAACUCCUACAAAGAGCGUAAACGAACUACAAAUAAGUGGAUUCGAGCGGCCUGUGCUACGUAUAAAUGAAUCUCAGAAACAGUCUUAAGCAUCAAAGCCGUCUCAAAAAGGUAGAUAUCGGAUGAUGUCACAAAUAAUGUCACAUAUUGUGCCAGUCAGGGUCCCAGUAGGAAACGAAAGGUGAACUUGGAACUCUGGAAAGAAGGAAAGGAAGGCACCUUUUCCAGGGGUGGUAGGUGUGGCGGACCGUUUCAUGGCCACAGAUUCCCACAUCGCUCCUUCCGUCCCGCGGUGGAAUCUGUUUUUCCAUCCCCAUUCAUCUGGGCUGGUUUUGUGACUUGUCUUGACGAGAGACUGUGACAAAAGUGACUUUAGGUAGGUUACACAGGGCCUGAAGUUUUCUCCCUUCACACCUUUUUAAAAAAUGUUUUAUUUAUUUUUUGAGAGAGAGAGAGAAAGCAGGGGAGGGGGAGAGAGAGGGAGACAGAGCAUCAGAAGCAGGCUCUGUGCUGUCGGCGUGGAGCCUGACGCGGGGCUCAAACCCACGAACCUCGAGACCCCGACUUGAGCCGAUGUCGGAUGCUUCGCCGACUGAGCCACCCUGGUGCCCCUCCGUUCACACUUUUGAAAUGUGCUGACAUUAUACAAAGGGGCCUGCACCAACCUGCCAGAGGCCUUGUGGACAGAAAGACCCAACCGCCAGCCAGCGCUGACCGCCAGAUGCGUGAGUGAGGCUGCCUGGGGCCCAGCCAGCCCCUAGCUGACCACAAGCGGGCUACCGAUGUACGAGGAGGGCAGCCAGAACCACUCCGAGCCGAGCUUCCUAGCUGAGUCCAGCUCAGAUCACCAACCCACAGGGUUAGGAACAAAACACUGGUUAAUAUUUUCAACUAUCAAGUUUUGGCGUGUUUCGUUGGGAGUAUAUAAUCGACUUAGAAGGGUCAAGGAACCCGGAAGAGGAGCUCGGGCGUUGAAGUACAGUGGCAAGGUGAUACUACUUGCUAGGCUCUGUGCUACGUACUGUACGUCGUGUGGGCACAAAAGAGGAAGUGACCAGUUGUCUGUAGACCUGCAGCAGGGCCAGGCUUUCAGCAUGAGGAACUCAGCGGGUCUGAAUGAAUCAUCAUGAGGAAGCAUGACUUGUUGAGGCUUCCCAAGACAUGGAAAGGAAUCUGGCCGACCUCUGUGUUGAAGCUUUACGAGACAGGUGUGAGCGGUAAGAGACCUACCGUAUAUUUUCUCUCCGACUCUUUGUUUCCUGGUAAUGGUGCACCUUCUCCACAUACACGAAGCUAGUCUGUGGUGAGAAAAAUCAGCAUUUGGAAGACCGGAACUUUGCUUGUCUCCUGAGAAGAACCUUACUUUUAUGUUGGGUGUGAAACCAGGAGCAUGUGCUGUGGCAGCAUGGAGAAGAGGGAUGUCAGGCUUCACUAGACCUGUCCACCCACAAAGCCAUUGUCACUUCAGGCAAGCCUCCUCACCAUUCCAAACCUCCUGCUCUCUAACACGAGCAUUUAAAUACCCACCCACGGCAUUUAGAUGGUUAUUACAAGUAAAAGAUGAAAUGAUUUCAUUGUAAUUAUUAUUAUGGUUACUUACUAUGGUCUCAGAGGGGAGUUCUUUAAGAUGCUGGAACUCUCUUGGGUCCAGGAGCAUGAGAACGAUUGUUCUUCUAUGACCAGUUCUUUCCAACUCUCCACAUAAAUCCAAACCAAAUGCAAAAGGAUAUAUUUAAAAACAUUUCUUACUUGACCACCGGGAGCUCUGAAUGGACUAGUGUAGAAGUUUGGGUCCUCUGAGAAGUACACACUAAGACAGGGUUAGAUGCCCAAGAGGGUCAUUGGAGGAAACACCUGUGAAGAGAAAGAGGGAGGAAGUAGGGGGAGGCAGGGAGAGACUUUAGACCCUGAUGUAGGUCUCACACCUGUGGAAGGAGAGGAGGAAGGAAGGAGACCAGGCAGAAAGAGUCUGAAACUGAAGUACAUUUCUAAGAUCCAGUGUUUGGACAGAGACCAAAUUGCCUAUGAGAGCAGUUCCGUGCCCCAGAGAAAUGAGCCUGGGCUUAUACCCUCGUCAUGCUUAGUCAUUGGCAGGGAGCAGCCUGUGGGAGGUGUGACCUUGGCAUGAACACAGUGGCGGAGCCAGCACUGGGACAUUCAGUCAACUAUGUUUCCCAUCUCAGGAGACGUGAGCAGUACAUUUUCAUGGCUACCCAGCAAACUGUGAGACAUUUCCUCCUUGAGAACACAUCGUAAGGAGUUUGAAAAACAAACCAGAACAUUUGUGAUAGUAUAGAUUUUGCACCCCAAAUCAAUGUUCCAUUCCCUUCUUUGACUUUCACUUCCCCCUCUGUUUCAGCUAGACCAAUCAUGUUGAAAACCCCACCCAGGUUUGUAGAGUUCCUCAUUUGACAAUUAAAAAAAAAUUUAUGUGACUGAGUCACAUGCACUUCCUUUGUUUUAUCUUUUCAAUGAGUUGUUUUCAUUUCUUGGGUUUUCUUUGAUUUCAUGUUUUUCCUAUCUUUACCUAUCCACCAUCGCCUGUUCUUCAUACUGUAUUGCUGAUGCCUGAUGUGGUAUUUGUGGAAUAAAUGGACCAAUAAUUAGUGAACAGGCUAUAAGAGUCAAACCUUCUUCAUGUCUGUGAGCUCCUUGGUGUCAGGGUCUUUGUCUUAGGGUGAUGACAUAUAAUGGAAAGACCAUAGGUUUUGUUCUAUGAUUAGACACAAAUCAGCUGUGUGAUCUUGGGCAAAUUGCACCACCUAUGUGAGCCCAGGUUUCUUUUUUUGACUAAUCAAGCCAGUAAUAGUAUCUAUCUCAUUGAGAUGUAAAUGACAGAGUGAUAAUAAAUGUAAAGUUCUGGGCACAGUGUCCAGCACAUUGGAGAUGCUGAACAAAUGACAGGUAAUGAACGAAUGGGCCUGAGGAAUGUGUAACACAUAAUGUAAUACAUAAUACAUAACUCAUUAGACUUUGCUCCUUUCCCCGCCCUCCUGAAAGUCCCCUGUCCAAAUCUAGUCCCAAAGGAUCCAGGCAAGAACAGGUAGAUGGAUAAAGGAUUGGAACAUAGCAGCAAACAGGCCAGUGUUGAGCAGUUACUGUGUGUGCAGCUACUGGGCUGAUCACUGUGAGACAAGUGGAGAUGACUGAGGUAUCCUCCACAUCCUCAAAGAGGUGGCAUUUCAACAUGGCAUUAGGUGUUUGAAGGUAUUGAUGGAUGGACACCUGGGGUGCAAGACAGCAUCAUUAUAGGAUGAAUAGGAAUAGUGUUUUGGGAAAUGUUGAGCAGACUGGGAUGUGGGGAAACAGAGGGAAAGACAUAGCUCAAAAGUUAGUUGAGAGGGGAAUCCAACAAGGCAGAGAAGUAGGGGGACCCCAAGUUCCCUCGUCCCUCAAACACAGUAGCGUUGAGGCCAGAGGACUUGGAAUUCCAAGAGUCCGGACUUCAGAGUGACAGAGACGUCUCUAGGAGCCCAUGGGGACAACCUGGUGGGCCAAUAGGUGUGUGAUUGGGAACUGGGAGAGAGAAAACGGGCAUAGGCACCACCCGUAGGAAGGGGAGAGAUUCCCUUCUGCAGACAGAAGGAAGAGAAAGAGAGGUUGUGCAAGUGUAGGACUGUAUUUGGACAAGUGAAAAACCACAGACUGGGGGUCAGGAAAAAAACAAAACGGAGAAAGAGCCAAUCUCUAACUACAGGCUUUCUCCCGACUGGGGCCACAGCUGCCCUGUGUGUGCACCUGUGGAGGAGGGGAGCCAGCCCCGGGCUCAGUACCUAGCUCAGAGGUGCAGUCCACAGUGGGAGAAAGCGAUCCCCUCCCUGGAGUGCUGUGGGAAGAAGCAAGGUGGGGCUUCAGGGAACAACAGCGGGGGCACAGUGGAGGGGGACCCCCUCCCCGCACCUGGGAACUAUGUAUCUACCUGAGAUCGACACUGACCAAUCAGACAGCCCCUCCUCCAGACCAGAGCUGCCACUGGAUCCAAGGCACCCAGCGGGGCUACUUUGAUGAACACAUCAAAGCACACCUGGUGGAGGGUCCAAAACAUCACUACAAGCACGGAGAUAAAGGAACCAGAGUCACAACAGCAGAGAGCACGGAACACACUCUGAAAACCACCUCCUGAGGGGCCGAGCCCUAGGCAGUGCGUGACCCCUCUUUAAUAUAGUAGUGCUCGCAGGUACGGGGCACAUAACAAGCUUUUAAAACACAUAAGGGACAGAAAACUAGCCAAAAUGAUGACACGAAAGAAUUCUCCUCAAAAGAAAUUCCGGGAAGAAACGACAGCUAAAGAAUGGCUCAAAACAGAUGUAAACAAUAUAUCUGAUCAAGAAUUUAGAGUAACCGUCACAGAAAGUUAGUUGGGAUCAAACCCAUGAGGACUCUGAAUGUCCAGCCAAGGAAACUGGACUUGAUUCUGUAGCUACUGGUAUGUCAAUAAAGGCUCUUGGAGAGAUAAGUGGAAUGACCCAGCUAGCAACUGGAAGGACGAAGUGAGAGUGAACACCUGAAAAUGGCACGUCCAAAUAACCCCAAAGCAACAAGGAAUUGGAGACCCAGAGAAGUUACGUAACGUGCUUACAACCACACAGCUAGUCAUUGCAAGACCGGGAUUUGAACCCACGCUUGGACUCUGGAGGCCAAGCCUUCACAGUGACACUCUUUUCAAAUAAUGAUCGUCAAAGAAGCUUACAGGUAGAUACUGCUUCUUUCAUAAGGACGGUCUCGCUUUGUCCAUGCAGCAGCCCUGUGAAAUCGAGGCUACCAUAUUUACUCCACAGGUGUGAAACGGGGGUCAACAAGCUGAAGAAACUGGUCCAAAUUGGCCCUGCGCCGGAAUAGUGGUGUCCGACCGUUGUGCCACUGGGCUGGGGACCGAUUACUGCUCCUGUGAUGUUCCUGGCUCUGCUCUGCUUCUAUUGGCCCCUCCCUCGCGGAGCAUGCCCUCUCCGAGGACCCCAGUUGAGUCCCAGUGUGGUUUUGUUUGUUUCGACAGUUCUCUUUUCUCUCUCAUUCUCUUCAAUACUCUAUGAUGCAUGAAACUCAUUGUUUCUAUAGGCAUCACGCGGUUCUGCAGAACUUAGAGUGAGCUACAGUGGGCUUCUAGCCUGGGGAGGGUCACUGGCAUUUAAGGACAUCAUCGUUGGAAGGAUGGCUCCAGGUGAAUUCAACCUCUGAUGUCAAGGUCACCUCCUACCUGGGUGUUGAGCUCACCUUGAUUCACACUUCCUCAGAAGGAAACACAAGGCUGUCCGUAGAUGGAGUUUGCACGAAGUCAUUGCUCCCUGCAAAUUUUAGAAAGGCACCCUGUUUCCUGUUGUUUGUGGUUUUGAACGCUCUAUCACCUGGCCUUGAUGAACCUGUCUAAACCCUCCAGACUGUAGUCUGUCACUUAUGUCAUUUUUUCUCUGGGCUCUCAUAGCACCCUGUGCUUGAGAUAUCCCUUUGACUAGAACUCCCCUGUGUUAACCUUUGGCUCGGCUACCAUGGUUUCAGCUAAGAUGUGACCUAUCAGACAAAAUCUUCCUUGACUUCCUAAACCGCACAUCUCUCCCAUGUCAUGGAAUCUCUUUGAAAAAAAGACUCUCUGUGGGGGCCCCUGGGCACCUGGGCUCAGUCACUUAAGCGUCCGACUUUGACUCAGGUCAUGAUCUCACGGUUAGUGAGUUCGAGCCCCGCAUCAG